AGUGGUUACAUCAGCUGACCUGUAGAAUAUCUACCCUCUUGUGGACUCUAGACGCCGGAGACUGAGCCAGGGUCAAGGCUGAGACUCCUGGACAGCAGCUGGGAAGCCUCUGUGGUGUCGAUCGCUUUCAAGCCCGCACUCUGGACUGAAAGACAAAAACAAAGUCCAGCCAAGCAGCUUGAUCUGUUCCUUGGUUUGCUAGUUUUGUGCUCCAGGUUCUGGCGACAACUGUACCCACGUCAGGGUCUGAGGGUUUUCAAGGUGCGUGCACACCAGGAUGCUCACACCAUGGAAACGGGCGCUUCCCGUUGCUCUGGGGAAACAGUUGAGUUAGGAAAACAUUUUAAACCAGACAUCAGGCCUUGAAGCCAUAAAAGAAGUGAUCAGUUAGACCUACCAAAAAGUGAACUUUCGUGUCAGAAGACUACCACCACGUCAAAACAAAAGACACACUGGAAACAAACUCUGAAACACGAUGGGGAAGUUUACUGUUAAAAUUUAGAAUUAGAAUUUUACUGUUAAAUUCUAUUAUUAUAUAUGAUUUGGAAAGACAUUCGGAAAGUCUGUGAUUAAGAUGGCAACAGAAAAAAAAGGCAAAUGACAUGGACAGGCAUGUGGAAUAAAAACUGCACAUAUGCAGUACGAGACCUAUAACCCUCAUGAACUCCAAGCCAUGCCAAUGGCAUAUUUUGACUUGGAAAGGCACAUAUAAAUCCAAAUGUUUGAUUUUUGCCAUCAGGGAAUUGGGUAAACAGGUAUUCCAUAUACUCUUACUAGACAUGCAAAUUAGUUUGAGGCUUUCCUAUAAUAAUUUCAAAUCUUCCUCUCAACUGUUCUGGUAAGUCCGAUUCUAGGAAUGAGCCUUAGAAACUCACACGACUGCAUUAACAAGAAUAUGUAAGCUGUAGCAAUUGUUUGUAAUGGUAAAAGGUUAGAAUUGACCCAAAUAUUUAUUAUUGCAUAAUUAUAGUGAAAAUAAAUAUUGUGAAACUAGUCAUUUACCUCAGAGACAGACUUCCAUUUACUGACAUGAAAAGGCUUAAGUGACUUUCAGAUUGGCAAAGAUCCCACUUUUUCUAUAAGAACAUAUUUUCACGUAUUUUACCCAUGAAACAAUUUUGGAGUAGGUGUCCCUAGACUUCUUGUAUUGCUGCCACCAAGGUGGGAGGAAAGUGUGUGGGGAGGAUGAGGGAUUUUACUGUUAAAAUUCUAUAUUUCUUUUUUAUACCAAGAGCAUAUUACUUUUCAAAUCAGAAAAACAAUGCUAUAAAAAGUGAAGACAAAAUGGGUGCUUGUGGCAAAGUCAGGAUUACCCGCAGCCGGCCACCCAUUGUCUG
rnacentral:lncRNA from 1 species